rnacentral:lncRNA from 1 species
CCGCUCCGCGCGCUCCUCGACUCACACGGAUGCAGCCCUCGAACGCCUUCGAUUGUGCCCGGCGCCCCGGGGUCACACGUAUGCAGAGAAACUGCCUCUUGGACACUCUCGAACCGCUCAUUCUGUCCUACUGCACGACCCACGCAAAAGCUUCUCCCGCAGCCCACCGACCGCAGCUCCUCUACACCCACCACCAGCCACACCCCGCUGUGCAGCGAACACACUGUGCUUGCCUCACACAAGCGGCUGGUCCUUCCGGAAUAACCACUCUACACAGUGGCUUCUGAGCCUCUCUCUCCUGGGGGGGGGAAAGAAAGGGGUCCUAGCCUCCUGCUGGCGGCCCUAUGUGGAGAAGGGAGUUAGACAUCUCCCCCAACCCCCAUCAGAGACUGCUCCCCUUUUUCACCCUUUUUCUAGCUGGGUAGCGAGUCCUUGCUUACGAGGAUGGGAGAAACACAGUCCAUACUUCACAGUUGACUGCAAUUGAAUCUACUCUUUGCAGUCUAUUGAAGGGUGACUACCUUGAUCUGGGUCUUUAGGGCUAGAGAUCAGCGGCUUUCCAAAAAUAAAAAACAAAAAAAAAAAAAAAAAAAAACCCACGCCA